UCCUUGGUGGUCCAGUGGUUAAGACUCUGCACUCCCAGUGCAGAGGGCCUGGGUUUGAUCCCUAGGCAGGGAA
rnacentral:tRNA from 1 species